UACGUAGGGUGCGAGCGUUAAUCGGAAUUACUGGGCGUAAAGCGUGCGCAGGCGGUUUUGUAAGUCUGAUGUGAAAUCCCCGGGCUCAACCUGGGAAUUGCAUUGGAGACUGCAAGGCUGGAGUCUGGCAGAGGGGGGGUAGAAUUCCACGUGUAGCAGUGAAAUGCGUAGAGAUGUGGAGGAAUACCGGUGGCGAAGGCGGCCUCCUGGCUUAAUACUGACGCUGAGG
rnacentral:rRNA from 1 species